CCUACGGGGGGCUGCAGUCGAGAAUCUUCGGCAAUGGGCGCAAGCCUGACCGAGCGACGCCGCGUGCGGGAUGAAGGCCCUCGGGUUGUAAACCGCUGUCGUAGGGGAGGAAUGGUCAGGGGGUUCUCCCCCUGAUUUGACCUAUCCUAGGAGGAAGAGUGGGCUAAGUUCGUGCCAGCAGCCGCGGUAAGACGAACCACUCAAACGUUAUUCGGAAUCACUGGGCUUAAAGGGUGCGUAGGCGGCGCGGAGGGUGGGAUGUGAAAUCCCCCGGCUUAACCGGGGAAUGGCGUCCCAAACCGCCGUGCUCGAGGAAGAUAGAGGUGAGCGGAACUGAUGGUGGAGCGGUGAAAUGCGUUGAUAUCAUCAGGAACACCCGUGGCGAAAGCGGCUCACUGGGUCUUCCCUGACGCUGAGGCACGAAAGCUAGGGGAGCGAAC
rnacentral:rRNA from 1 species